rnacentral:lncRNA from 1 species
AAAAAUCAGAAACUAAACCUUUUAACGUGGACUUCAAAGCUUUGCCAUAAGCAAUUGAGCAUAUUCCUAGAAAUGUUUCUAAACCAUAACCUGAGAGAAUGUUGAUCUCCAUAGUGUGAAAAUGACUUGGGCCAGUUUAACUUGCACUUUUUUUUUUCUAAACUAAUUCCGUUUUGUUUUUCUCUGAUAAUUCUUCUCUUUCCUGAGCCUCUUUAGAGCAGCACUUACAGGAUUGCCUCUGUAAAGCCUUAUUCCUGUCCCAGAAAAGGUGAAAUCCCUAAGGGCUCUGCCAUGUACUCCAGCCUUGUGACCCUUGCCUUCCAGGAACCAUGCAAGAAGCGCAGCCACCGGAAGUCCUUAAAACAGCAGGAAAGGAUUUCCUUUUUAUCACUGGUUUUGAUGGAUUUGAUUAAGGCGUUCCUUGGUGAAGUUUUCUUCAUGUUUCUUGUUCUUAGAAUAAUCAUAUUUCUGUAAUAUUUGAAGUUUAUGGUUUCCAUGGAGCUUCUAAAUCUUUCAUCCAGUAUGUUUUAAAUAUCUUUGUCUCUCUUCUCCACUACACGCCCUUCAGGGAUUCCAUUUAGCCCUAUACUAG